rnacentral:rRNA from 1 species
GAGUUGCCAUAUGAUCCGGCUGAUCGGAAGAGAAUUUCAGACUACACAAAAAAUCCGAAAAAGCAAGAUGAGAUUAGGCGCAGAUAUUUAAUGAGAGGACCUUACAGGCCACCAUCUAAUUUUGAUUACCCGCAGAGGGAGAUUGGUGAUACUCAACGGAGAUUUAAUCCAGAUUGGUUUAACGACUACGAUCGUUGGCUUGAGUAUAGUGACACAGUGCAUAAGGCUUUUUGUUUGUGUUGCUACCUUUUCAGAGAUUACAAUGAGGGACAAGCUGGAAGUGAUGCAUUUGCAAUUAACGGUUGGAACGGUUGGAACAAGAAAAGCAGACUCGAUACUCAUGAGGGUAAGGGUAAUGUUAAUAGCUUUCACAAUGUAGCAGUAAAAAGAUGUGACGCUUUGAUGAAUCAAGAUCAGUCAAUUCAUGUUGCUUUUGAUAAGCAAACUGAUCUUACAAAAAAGCAAAAUCGAAUUCGGCUUGAUGCUUCCAUUGAUUCGGUGAGAUACUUGUUGCAUCAAGGCUUAGCUUUCCGGGGCCAUGAUGAAUCAGAGGAGUCGAAAAAUAAGGGAAAUUUCCGAGAGUUGGUACAUACUUUGGCAAACCAGAAUGAAGCUAUACGGAAUGUAGUUCUUGAGAAUGCUCCAAGAAAUUGUAAGUGGGUAUGUGGAGAUGUUCAAAAGGAAAUUGCAAAUUAUUUUGCAAAGGUAACAUCAAAUUUAAUCGCCUCUAUUUAUGUUUUAUUGCAAAUAACAAAUGUUCUCUAA